GAAACAAACUUACCUCUCAAUUUUCCUCAAGAAACCAAAUAUUUGUUCUUUUCUCAACCAACAACAAACCCUAAACUCUCUAAUAUGUGAAACAAACAAAAUCUGUUUCAUCAGCGCUUCUUCGUUUCAUCACUCGCUUCCCUCACAAAAUCCGUCAUUUCAUGCUUUGCUUCGGUGAAAUAGAAAACCAUAGCCACUACCUAUAAUCGAUCGACUCAGUUGAUGCUCCAAGUAACGAAGCCCCUUUUUCGUCUCCUUGCCAAUCGCAAAAACAUCCAUCUUUCGGAAAGAUUCUAGUGUCGAAAGGUCUUCUCAAUCAAUUGUUCUUCUUUUGCGAACUCCAAGUUUGAUUCGAUGGUUUUCUGAAAAAACCUUGCCAAGAGGGACGAUUUUAACGACAAAAGUUAUGGACCCUUAAACACAUAAAUCAUAAGUUCAUUGGAAUAUUUUGUACUUGGAGUUUAGCCCUCAUUUAUGAGAAAUUUUCAAUGAAGACUUUAGAUUAUUUCGGUUGAUGGUAUGAUUGACUUAUCUGGAGUACAUACCAUUUUGAUUUGAGUUUUAUUGAAAAGCUUUUUUUUCUUUUAUAUUGUUUUGUCCACAUAGAAAUCUGAUUUUAUCCAAAAGCACUUCAUUUUCCUAAGAUUUAUGUGGACUUUGGUUGCUAAAAUAUUUUCAUUGAAUUAUUCACUAAACUUAAAUUGAUUAGUCACUUACUAAUUUUUAUCAA